CACGUAGGAGGCGAACGUUAUCCGGAUUUAUUGGGCGUAAAGAGCUCGUAGGUGGUUUGUCACGUCGUCUGUGAAAUUCCGGGGCUUAACCUCGGGCGUGCAGGCGAUACGGGCAAUACUUGAGUGCUGUAGGGGAGACUGGAAUUCCUGGUGUGGCGGUGAAAUGCGCAGAUAUCAGGAGGAACACCAAUGGCGAAGGCAGGUCUCUGGGCAGUUACUGACGCUGAGGAGCGAAAGCAUGGGUAGCGAACAGGAUUAGAUACCCCU
rnacentral:rRNA from 1 species